rnacentral:rRNA from 1 species
UUAAGGGCGCACGGUGGAUGCCUUGGCACUAGAAGCCGAUGAAGGACGUUACUAACGACGAUAUGCUUUGGGGAGCUGUAAGUAAGCUUUGAUCCAGAGAUUUCCGAAUGGGGAAACCCAGCAUGAGUUAUGUCAUGUUAUCGAUAUGUGAAUACAUAGCAUAUCAGAAGGCACACCCGGAGAACUGAAACAUCUUAGUACCCGGAGGAAGAGAAAGAAAAUUCGAUUCCCUUAGUAGCGGCGAGCGAAACGGGAAGAGCCCAAACCAACAAGCUUGCUUGUUGGGGUUGUAGGACACUCUAUACGGAGUUACAAAGGACGACAUUAGACGAAUCAUCUGGAAAGAUGAAUCAAAGAAGGUAAUAAUCCUGUAGUCGAAAAUGUUGUCUCUCUUGAGUGGAUCCUGAGUACGACGGAGCACGUGAAAUUCCGUCGGAAUCUGGGAGGACCAUCUCCUAAGGCUAAAUACUCUCUAGUGACCGAUAGUGAACCAGUACCGUGAGGGAAAGGUGAAAAGCACCCCGGAAGGGGAGUGAAAUAGAACCUGAAACCGUGUGCUUACAAGUAGUCAGAGCCCGUUAAUGGGUGAUGGCGUGCCUUUUGUAGAAUGAACCGGCGAGUUACGAUUUGAUGCAAGGUUAAGCAGUAAAUGUGGAGCCGUAGCGAAAGCGAGUCUGAAUAGGGCGUUUAGUAUUUGGUCGUAGACCCGAAACCAGGUGAUCUACCCUUGGUCAGGUUGAAGUUCAGGUAACACUGAAUGGAGGACCGAACCGACUUACGUUGAAAAGUGAGCGGAUGAACUGAGGGUAGCGGAGAAAUUCCAAUCGAACCUGGAGAUAGCUGGUUCUCUCCGAAAUAGCUUUAGGGCUAGCCUCAAGUGAUGAUUAUUGGAGGUAGAGCACUGUUUGGACGAGGGGCCCCUCUCGGGUUACCGAAUUCAGACAAACUCCGAAUGCCAAUUAAUUUAACUUGGGAGUCAGAACAUGGGUGAUAAGGUCCGUGUUCGAAAGGGAAACAGCCCAGACCACCAGCUAAGGUCCCAAAAUAUAUGUUAAGUGGAAAAGGAUGUGGCGUUGCCCAGACAACUAGGAUGUUGGCUUAGAAGCAGCCAUCAUUUAAAGAGUGCGUAAUAGCUCACUAGUCGAGUGACACUGCGCCGAAAAUGUACCGGGGCUAAACAUAUUACCGAAGCUGUGGAUUGUCCUUUGGACAAUGGUAGGAGAGCGUUCUAAGGGCGUUGAAGCAUGAUCGUAAGGACAUGUGGAGCGCUUAGAAGUGAGAAUGCCGGUGUGAGUAGCGAAAGACGGGUGAGAAUCCCGUCCACCGAUUGACUAAGGUUUCCAGAGGAAGGCUCGUCCGCUCUGGGUUAGUCGGGUCCUAAGCUGAGGCCGACAGGCGUAGGCGAUGGAUAACAGGUUGAUAUUCCUGUACCACCUAUAAUCGUUUUAAUCGAUGGGGGGACGCAGUAGGAUAGGCGAAGCGUGCGAUUGGAUUGCACGUCUAAGCAGUAAGGCUGAGUAUUAGGCAAAUCCGGUACUCGUUAAGGCUGAGCUGUGAUGGGGAGAAGACAUUGUGUCUUCGAGUCGUUGAUUUCACACUGCCGAGAAAAGCCUCUAGAUAGAAAAUAGGUGCCCGUACCGCAAACCGACACAGGUAGUCAAGAUGAGAAUUCUAAGGUGAGCGAGCGAACUCUCGUUAAGGAACUCGGCAAAAUGACCCCGUAACUUCGGGAGAAGGGGUGCUCUUUAGGGUUAACGCCCAGAAGAGCCGCAGUGAAUAGGCCCAAGCGACUGUUUAUCAAAAACACAGGUCUCUGCUAAACCGUAAGGUGAUGUAUAGGGGCUGACGCCUGCCCGGUGCUGGAAGGUUAAGAGGAGUGGUUAGCUUCUGCGAAGCUACGAAUCGAAGCCCCAGUAAACGGCGGCCGUAACUAUAACGGUCCUAAGGUAGCGAAAUUCCUUGUCGGGUAAGUUCCGACCCGCACGAAAGGCGUAACGAUUUGGGCACUGUCUCAACGAGAGACUCGGUGAAAUCAUAGUACCUGUGAAGAUGCAGGUUACCCGCGACAGGACGGAAAGACCCCGUGGAGCUUUACUGUAGCCUGAUAUUGAAAUUCGGCACAGCUUGUACAGGAUAGGUAGGAGCCUUUGAAACGUGAGCGCUAGCUUACGUGGAGGCGCUGGUGGGAUACUACCCUAGCUGUGUUGGCUUUCUAACCCGCACCACUUAUCGUGGGGGGAGACAGUGUCAGGCGGGCAGUUUGACUGGGGCGGUCGCCUCCUAAAAGGUAACGGAGGCGCUCAAAGGUUCCCUCAGAAUGGUUGGAAAUCAUUCAUAGAGUGUAAAGGCAUAAGGGAGCUUGACUGCGAGACCUACAAGUCGAGCAGGGUCGAAAGACGGACUUAGUGAUCCGGUGGUUCCGCAUGGAAGGGCCAUCGCUCAACGGAUAAAAGCUACCCCGGGGAUAACAGGCUUAUCUCCCCCAAGAGUUCACAUCGACGGGGAGGUUUGGCACCUCGAUGUCGGCUCAUCGCAUCCUGGGGCUGUAGUCGGUCCCAAGGGUUGGGCUGUUCGCCCAUUAAAGCGGUACGCGAGCUGGGUUCAGAACGUCGUGAGACAGUUCGGUCCCUAUCCGUCGUGGGCGUAGGAAAUUUGAGAGGAGCUGUCCUUAGUACGAGAGGACCGGGAUGGACAUACCUCUGGUGUACCAGUUGUCGUGCCAACGGCAUAGCUGGGUAGCUAUGUGUGGACGGGAUAAGUGCUGAAAGCAUCUAAGCAUGAAGCCCCCCUCAAGAUGAGAUUUCCCAACUUCGGUUAUAAGAUCCCUCAAAGAUGAUGAGGUUAAUAGGUUCGAGGUGGAAGCAUGGUGACAUGUGGAGCUGACGAAUACUAAUCGAUCGAAGACUUAAUC